AGUGCAGGUGCACCUAUUGGUGGAUUUCAUCACAAGGACACCAGGUGGCUGACAAAGGUGUCUUCUAGCAAUCAGGGUAGCAUCUGGCAGAUUGUAUGAUACGUCACGCUGGAGUGCAGCUCCUGCAUAUUUAAGAGGCAAGCUGUGCUGUCAGUAUGGGAAAAUUACUGUUUUCAAGAGGUAUUACUGUCCUGCACUGCCACCUCACCAACAGCCUCAUGGAAUGGGCUCCACAGGGAACACGAGCACUGAGCUCUGCUUGUCCUUGCUGUGAGCUUCAGUGUCCUGAGAUAGACCCCCAGGAGGAGUUCCCCUGAGGAAGAUAUGUUGGAGUAAUGCUGGUACCAUGAGGAGCAAAGGGCAGCAUCUUCUCAUCUGGGAAGAGGCAUGAAUCCAGAUUAGCAGCAGUCCCUGGAGAUGUGCAUUAAUUAACACUACCAGCGUUUGCCAUCAACUCUGUGGUUAGAGAUGAGCAUCAAGGAAGGAUGGAUAUGUCACCUUGAAAACUCAAGUGAGGAAGAAGUUCCACAAUGAAGAUGGUUAUAGUUUCUCAUAAGGCCCUGCAAAACUGGAUUUAAUGGUGCCUUAGAAUACAUGAACUUGGGAACCUUUGGAAAGUGCGUGCUUGGUGGCUCCUUAGUGCCCUCCUCUUUUGGGAUCUGCUCCAAUGAAUCCUUCUCUCACCAUGUUUUCAGGCCAGGUGCUGCAGUGUUAGCAGUGGACCUGAGCACUGCUGCACCCCAAAGCCUGACCAGGAUGAAGCACACGAUAGGGUGUUUAUACCUGCAGCUUACUGUAGGGUUAUUGGACAUAGCUCAUCUCUUUGGGUAUUUAUCAGGCUACUGCAGUGUGGGUGGCUGACCUUGGUGAUAUCAGUGUUUUUCUCAUUCCCACGGGGCUCUGAGGUUUACUCGAUGCUGAUAUCCUUCAUUUGAUUUCAGCCCCGUUGGCUUUCUGUGACACCUAGUCUGCAGAUCUCUACUAGUUCAAAUUUGAGAAAUAAAAUCAGCUCAGCGAAAACAAGGCUCUUUUCCUUAGCUUGCAGCAUCAAUCAAAGCAAACAAGGGGAAAAAAAGUGGAAAUGGAGUGUGACAUCUGGGGAAAAGCUUUCUUUUGAUCUCUCUUGAUAUUGUUGGCUACAGCUAAAGGGGAAAACACAAUUCUUUCUUUACUCUCUGGUAUGUAAAGUAAUUGUUUUGAAUAAAAGCAGAAGUGGGAUGCCUACAUAAAACAGCCUACGCUGGGGAACAAUGCUGUGAUCCUGAUGUGGUACAAACCACAGGAGACAGCUUAUCUGAUGGGAAGACUUAAUUAAUAAGUUAUGUUCAUCCAGACUGAAUAUUAGCUAUAAAUUGUCCAACAAAUCUUAAUUAUGUCAGAGGGGCUGCAAGAUAAGGAAAUGAUUUAAAUAGUGUAGAGACCUCCCAUUGCAUUCCUCCUCCUAUUACAAUACUGUAUGUGCUUGCUAAUUUACCUGUAUAUCAUAUCCAUUGACUAGAUUAAAUAUAAAAGGCUUAAUUUUUACAGUGAUAAUUAUCUCUUCAGUGUUACGCAUGCAGAGGUAAUUAAUAAUUGCAGUCCAGGAGAAAGAUAGCCCUACUGUCUUCUCAGGUUUGAUCUUCUGAUUUGAAGAUCUGAGUGGUUUGUGGCUGUAGAAGAGGUGCAUGAAAACAUCCUAGAUAACAGUACACUUUUUAUAAUAACUACUUUUCCUGUCACUAUGCGAUAGGAACUGUAAUCAGAAGAAGACUUGUCUUGUAAUCAGAAUGAACAGAGAAGAUGUUUUGAUCAUAGGUGAUGUCUAAACUCUCAGUUAUGAAGUUUAGUGACCUACUAAGCACAUUUUUUUUGCUUUUAAGGCCAAACAGCAGCUUUUCCCCCGGACCAAAUGAUGGCUUUGUCAGCCUAACCCAGGGGCUUAGACAAAUAAAAA